GACGAACGCUGGCGGCGUGCUUAACACAUGCAAGUCGAACGGAAAGGCCCCUUUGGGGGUACUCGAGUGGCGAACGGGUGAGUAACACGUGCGUAACCUGCCCUUGACUUCGGGAUAACUUCAGGAAACUGGGGCUAAUACCGGAUAGGAAUCCUUGCUGCAUGGUGGGGGUUGGAAAGCUUCGGCGGUUUUGGGUGGACUCGCGGCUUAUCAGCUUGUUGGUGGGGUAGUGGCUUACCAAGGCUUUGACGGGUAGCCGGCCUGGGGGGGCGACCGGCCAAAUUGGGACUGGGAAACGGCCCAGACUCCUACGGGAGGGAGGAGGGGGGAAUAUUGCAAAAUGGGCGGAAGCCUGAUGCAGCAACGCCGCGGGCGGGAUGACGGGCUUCGGGUUGGAAAACGCUUUCAGCAGGGGCGAAGCUUGUGGUGACGGUACCUGCAGAAGAAGCACCGGCUAACUACGUG
rnacentral:rRNA from 1 species